AACGAACGCUGGCGGCAGGCCUAACACAUGCAAGUCGAGCGAGGUAGCAAUACCUAGCGGCGGACGGGUGAGUAACGCGUGGGAACGUACCCUUUGCUACGGAAUAGCCCCGGGAAACUGGGAGUAAUACCGUAUGUGCCCUUCGGGGGAAAGAUUUAUCGGCAAAGGAUCGGCCCGCGUUGGAUUAGGUAGUUGGUGGGGUAAUGGCCUACCAAGCCGACGAUCCAUAGCUGGUUUGAGAGGAUGAUCAGCCACACUGGGACUGAGACACGGCCCAGACUCCUACGGGAGGCAGCAGUGGGGGAAUCUUAGACAAUGGGCGCAAGCCUGAUCUAGCCAUGCCGCGUGAGUGAUGAAGGCCUUAGGGUUGUAAAGCUCUUUCAGAUGGGAAGAUAAUGACGGUACCAUCAGAAGAAGCCCCGGCUAACUCCGUG
rnacentral:rRNA from 1 species